rnacentral:lncRNA from 1 species
UUCUAUAUAUAUAUAUAGAGAGAGAGAGAGAGUUGAGCUAAAAUACUAUCGAUAGCAAACGGGCUCCGUUGCCACCCAUUUGUUUUCGAUGAUGGAGUAUCCAAAUCGACAAUCGGCACCGUUGAACAUGAUCUAUACAACUUGAAAUGUUUAGAAAUCAAAUUUUAAAUCUUUUCAACAUCAUUUGCCUAAUGAUCAAAGGGUUUCAAAAUUUGUAAUUUUAAUAGUCGAUAUGAGGCGUUUUCUUGUUUAACGGCAUAAAGAUAUCCAAAUCAAUUGAAUUUUUGUUAGAAAAUUCUUUAAACUAUUUAAAAUAAGAUCUAUACUCUUGAUCUUGAUUACAAGACUCCUAUAAUCAUUUUUUAAAGAAUAUUCAUUUUCAGCCGUUCAUUUUUGUGUCCACUCGAUGUAUAAGAGAACAAUGUCGAAAAUAUAUGAAAUUUGAUUUCUAAACACUUCAAGUGGUAUAGAUCAUGUUCAACGGUGCCGAUCGUCGAUUUGGAUGCUCCAUCAUCGAAAACAAAUGGGUGGCAACGGAGCCUGUUCGCUAUCGAUAGUAUUCUAGCUCAACUCUCUCUCUAUCUCUAUAUAUAGAGAGAGAGAGAGAGAGUUGGACUGGGGAGAGAGAGAGUUGGAUUGGGCUACUAUUAGUAGCAAAAUCCCAUUGUUGCUACUAAUUUUUUAGCCUUUGGAUCAACUCUUUUCAUUAUUUCUAACCAUUGGAUUAAAUACUAUAACCCAGUGGAGACCACUCAACCCUAGGUGGAGCACUCAACUCUAACCGACUGAUAUCAUCCUGACCCUAUAAUUUUUCAUUCAAGGGUUAAAAACUUGAUAGCCAAAAAAGCGUUUUACUAUUAAUAGUAUUCCAGCCUAAUUCUAUAUAUAUAUACUAGUUGAAUAUACGUGCAAAUGCACGUAAUAAUUAUUAUAAUUUAUUUCAAAUCAAUAUAAAUUUGUAUAUUA